rnacentral:tRNA from 1 species
AAAAAGGUAAGCUAAAUAAGCUCUUGGGUUCAUACCCCAACCAUAAAGGUAAAUCCUUUCCUUUUUA